rnacentral:rRNA from 1 species
AANNNNNNNNNNNUUCCCAUUGAGGUCGAAUCUUCGGGNACAUUNUGAANCCUNAAUGGCCCUCGCAANGGGAGAUGCCCCGGGACUAUAAAACAAAGGGGACUCGCAANUNGCCUGNGGNCGGNGACACUUNGAAUUGNGGGACAUCCUUAGAGUUNUGCCUACCCACCCGCGGGGGAAACCUCGCGGGGGCCCGUGUNAACNGCACGGGGUGCGGUAAGAACGGUGUAGAGAUUGGACGAUCCGCAGCCAAGCCCNUACGUCCAGCCGGCCUGGAUACGGGGAAGGUUCACAGACUAAGUGGAAGUGGGUGCGGCCUCCCGGCCGCGCUUAAGAUAUAGUCGGGCCCCCAGCGAAAGCUGGGGGGUAAGUCACUGCGACGAGAGCCGUUCCGUAGGUGAACCUGCGGAAGGAUCAUUACCGAGUUGAUUCGGGCUCCGGCCCGAUCCUCCCACCCUUUGUGUACCCACCUCUGUUGCUUUGGCGGGCCGCGGUCCUCCGCGGCCGCCCUCCGUCCGGGGGGUGGCCAGCGCCCGCCAGAGGACCAUCGAACUCCGGUCAGUGAACGUUGCCGUCUGAAAAACAAUCAAUAAACUAAAACUUUCAACAACGGAUCUCUUGGUUCUGGCAUCGAUGAAGAACGCAGCGAAAUGCGAUAAGUAAUGUGAAUUGCAGAAUUCAGUGAAUCAUCGAAUCUUUGAACGCACAUUGCGCCCCUCGGUAUUCCGAGGGGCAUGCCUGUUCGAGCGUCAUUACAACCCUCAAGCUCUGCUUGGUGUUGGGCACCGCCCUUCCGCGGGCGCGCCUCAAAGACCUCGGCGGUGGCGUCUUGCCUCGAGCGUAGUAGAAAACACCUCGCUUUGGAGCGCACGGCGCCGCCCGCCGGACGAACCUUUUGAACUUUCUCAAGGUUGACCUCGAUCAGGUAGGA